rnacentral:rRNA from 1 species
UACGUAGGGUGCAAGCGUUGUCCGGAAUUAUUGGGCGUAAAGAGCUCGUAGGCGGUCUGUCGCGUCGAAUGUGAAAACCCGGGGCUCAACCCCGGGCUUGCAUUCGAUACGGGCAGACUAGAGUUCGGUAGGGGAGUCUGGAAUUCCUGGUGUAGCGGUGAAAUGCGCAGAUAUCAGGAGGAACACCGGUGGCGAAGGCGGGUCUCUGGGCCGAUACUGACGCUGAGGAGCGAAAGCGUGGGGAGCGAACAGG